rnacentral:lncRNA from 1 species
ACAGACCUUCCUCCUCCUGGAACAUCCAAGGGCACUGGAUCCUCUGUGUCCCUCUGAGAUGGGGUGCCACUCCAGCAAGAGCACCACGGUGGCAGCUGAGUCCCAGAAGCUUGAAGAAGAGCGCGAGGGAAGAGAGCCAGGUCUGGAGACCGGCACCCAGGCAGCAGACUGCAAGGAUGCCCCGCUGAAGGAUGGAACCCCUGAGCCAAAGAGCUGAAAUGCCUCUCUCCAGAGUCGGACCCUCACCUCCUUCCUGGAACUGCCUUUGGCCCCAGAACCAUGAGACAAUCCCCACCCUGAGAAGCUCCGAUCACUGGGAGGAGAGAGAAAGCCUCCAGCUUUGGGAUUCAGGCUUCAGAAGUUUUUAGCAGCCUUUGCUCAUUGGAGAGGUGGGGAGGAUAAGUCUAUAAGGAAUCCUAUUUCCCCAGCUCUCCCACAGAGAGGACAAAAGAAGUCUUCACACGUUGUGGAACUUUCCUGCAACUUCUGGAUGCAGACAAGCCUCAGAGCAGACUGUUCUGGCUCCAGUGAAUAUCGGCUGCCAAGCUGUGAGCAUCCAGGGAUCCCCGUCUGCCUGGCUUUCCUGAAGUCAGAAGGCGCCUUGGUCAUACUGUGUGGGGUGUGUGGAUCUCAGUUUGCUCUCUUUCUUUCUCCUUUUUUCAACAGCUGGCGGAGUAGCCAACACCCCUGACAGCAAUGUGUUGCACUUGGCUCACUCCACACCCUAUGAAUAAUUUUAAUAUUUAACUUGAAAUGUUGUUAAGAAACUAUGGAAAAUAUCAGGAUCCCACUGGGAUCCCGUAAAUUGAAGGCAACAAGGUCUUGGUCCUCCAGUAAGGGGGGCAUGGAGCCCUGGUGGGAAGGAAAGAAGAGAAAUUUGUGUUCCUGAUUCCUUAAUCCCCAAGAAAGGUCCCUCUGCUAACAUUCACAUAUCUCUUCCUAGCCAAAGUCUGUCCAUUUCAACCCUCUAGCAUCUGAGCUAUCUGCAUCCAGCUUUCAAAAAUAUUUCGCUGUUUACUAACAUGUCUGUCAGCCUCUCUUUUCUCCCCCGCAUGUGUUUUGUUUUUAAAUCCACUCAAAAGCGUUUUCAUUUGAAAUCAAAUAGACAUGUUUGCAAAUAAAUGUUGACACAACACAUUUGAAAGACAGAAUUGGGGAUCUGAGAUUAAGAGUAUCAGCAGAGAAGAGUGGGUGUAAUUCUGUGGAACAGGAGUGAGAACAGAGGCGAGGGAGCCGUUGCUUUGUGCCAGGCGCCAUGCUGAGGACUUUCCAUAGACGGUUUAAUGCCACCCAACUACUCCCAUUUUAUAGAUGAGGAAAUGGAGGAAAUAAAGUCACUUGCCUGAGUUUGGGCAGCCAGGAAGGAGCAGAACCCACAGUUGAGCCCCAGCAGUUUGGCUUGGGAAACGCAUGUAGAGUGCUUCUUAAAGCAGAGAGCCUUUCUCAUGAUUAAACUGAAAUACUAGUCCCUUUAUAGCCUGUGCAUAGUGAGGACCAUUUUUCUUUAUUCACUGAGACCUACCUGCCUAUUGAGAAGUAUGUAACCGGUCAGCUUGGAGUUGCCCCACUGCAGGUUGGGUGAUGCAUUGAGGGACUUUUUAUUUUUACUCUGGUGGUGGGGGACGGGGAGGGAGGAAGAGACGGAGAGGGAAAAGAGGAGGGAGGAGAGAGGGCAAGAAGAAAAAGGAGGAGGGGAAACAGAGGAAGAGAGGGAGGAGGGAAAGAAGGAGAGGGAGAGAAAGGGAAGAGGUAGGGAGAUGAAAGAGCGGGGAGAGGCAGAAUGGGAGAGGGAGAGAAGGAGAGGGGAGACGGAGGGAGGAAGGGAGAGAAAGGAGAGGGGUGAGGGAAAAGGGGUAGGGAGGAGGGAGGAAGAGAAAAAUGGGGAGAGGGUGGGCGAGAAGGAAAGGAAGAAAUCGAGGAAGUUGGAGGAAUGAGGGAUGAGGCAGGGAGGGAGAAAGGGAGGGCGAAGCAGUAAGGUGCUGCAAAGGACCCUUCUUUUUGGCCAUAAAAACCUGAGAAACUGAUUGAGAUUCUUUUGAGCAAUAAGGCAACUGCGGUGAGGAAAAAAUAAGGAAGGAGGCACAAAAAGCAAAGCAGUUCAGCCUGAAAUUGACUACAGAGCUUCCCUUUGCUUCAGCAGAGCCUGGAGGAGCAGGAGGGAUGGGGGCCCUGUCAGCUGGCCCAAAGCCCUGCCCUGUCCCAGGGGUGCUAAGCUUGCUGCAGGCCAGGAAACAGGCCUGGGCUUGCAGCUGGGGAUCAGGAAGUUUGGGGCCUCUUUGCACAGCUUACUGGGGAUAGGCCAAGCUCUGGGAACUCCUUUCAAUUUUUUUUUUUUUUAAGACAACUCUGUUUUUCUCCCUCCUCCCUACUAGUGGAAAUUUACCUUGCAAAACAGGACUGUGCAUGGUGAGAGCUGCUUGCAAUGUCCACACUCAGGACUCUAUGGAAAGAGUUCGCAGCUGGUGGUGAGGCUUUGAGAAUUAAUAAAAUUGUAGGAUUUGGCCCUGGAAACUCUUAACCACUGAGAAGGGACUGCUUGAGAAUGAAGCCACAGAGCAGAGUGGAGCAGAGUGGAGAGAAGGAGAGACAUCGUCCUGAUCAACUUGUUUGGGCAACUGGAUCCAGCCAUGCCAGAAUAAUUCUUCCCCUAGAAGAUUCACAAGCCAAUAAACUCACUCUUUUUGUUUGUUUGUUUACAGUGGUUUGAAUUUGGUUUCUGUCAUUUUCAGAGAGAUCUGAGUAAAUCAGAUCCACUUAGAUUUGUAUAUUAGGUAGAGCACCCUGGUAACUGUUUAGAGGAUGGAGUUGGGAGGGAUAAAGCUAGAAGCAUGAAUACCAAUUAGAAGGCAACCUAGGAAAAAAAAAGCAUACAAGGAGGGGCAGGUUUAAAGGGAAGAUGAGGGGUUGAGUUUUAGGGGUGUUGAGUUUGAGGUGCCCAUAGGACAAAAUGUAAAUAAUGAUUGCAAACACUUAUAUCACUCUUACCAUGUCUGAGCAUUGUUCCAAAUGCAAUACAUAUAGAACUCAUUUAAUCCUCACCAUCACACUGUGCUCAUUUUAUAGAUUAAAACACAGGGAGUUUUAAUCCAUUCACUGAUCCCAACUUGCUCCUUGGCUGUAAAUUCCCACAUUUCCUUGUUGUAUUCUGAAUUAAGCCCAAUCUCUCUCCCCUACAAUAAAACCCCGUUGUUGUACAGGGGGUGCAGGGGGGGUGUGAUGGUUAAUUUUAUGUGUCAAGACUGGGCGCAGUGGCUCACACCUGUAAUCCCAGCACUUUGGGAGGCCGAGGUGGGCGGAUCACUUGAGGUCUGGAGUUCGAGACCAGCCUGGCCAACAUGGCAAAACCUCGUCUCUACUAAAAAUACAAAAAUUGUCCAGGUGUGGUGGCACGUGCCUGUAAUUCCAGCUACUACUCGGGAGGCUGAGGCAGGAGAAUUGCUUGAAACUGGGAGGCAGAGGUUGCAGUGAGCCUAGGUCACAUCACUGCAUUCCAGCCUAGGUGACAGAGUGAGGCUCUGUCUCAAAAAAAUAAAUAGAUAAAUAAAAUUAUGUGUCAGUUUAACUUGGCUAAGGGAUGCCCAGAUAGCUGGUAAAACAUUAUUUCUGGGUGUGCCUGGGAGCGUGUUUCUGGAAGAGAUUAGCGUUUUAAUCAGUAGACUGUGUCAAGAAGACCCACUGUCGUUAAUCUAAUCUGUUGAAGGUCUGAAUACAGCAACAAGGUAGAGAAUUCUCUCUCUUUUCUUGAGCUGGGACAUCCAUCUUCUCUUGUCCUCAGACGUUGGAGCUCCUGGUUCUGGGAUUUUCAGACUCCAGGACUUAGACCAGUGGCCUCUCUGGUUCUCAUGCCUUCCGCCUCAGACUGAAUUACACCACUGGCUUUCCUGGGUCUCCAGCAUACCAAUGGCAUAACAUGGGACUUCUUGGCCUCCAUAAUAAUGUGAACCAAUUCCCAUAAUAAAUCUCCCCUUAUAUAUCUCGAUAUAUUCUGUUGGUUCUGUUUCUCUGGAGGACCCUGACUAAUAUAGGGGGUUAACUAGUUCUUCCAGCUCUCAAGGACACAGCUGGGGCUUGCACUAGGCAGUUUGCCUUUAGAGGCUGAGACUUGAGGAAUUCAUU